rnacentral:rRNA from 1 species
AAAUGAAUAGACGGGGGCCCGCACAAGCAGCGGAGCAUGUGGUUUAAUUCGAAGCAACGCGAAGAACCUUACCAGGUCUUGACAUCCAGGUAAAGCGGUAGAGAUACCGUGUGUGCUUGCACAAUCUGAGACAGGUGGUGCAUGGUUGUCGUCAGCUCGUGUCGUGAGAUGUUGGGUUAAGUCCCGCAACGAGCGCAACCCUUGCGAUUGGUUGCUAACAGGUAAAGCUGAGAACUCCAAUAGGACUGCCGGGGACAACUCGGAGGAAGGUGGGGACGAUGUCAAAUCAUCAUGCCCCUUAUGACCUGGGCUACACACGUGCUACAAUGGCCACUACAAAGAGGUACGAAGCCGUAAGGCGGAGUGGAUCUGCAAAAAGUGGUCUCAGUUCGGAUUGAGGGCUGCAACCCGCCCUCAUGAAGUCGGAGUUGCUAGUAAUCGCGAAUCAGCAUGUCGCGGUGAAUACGUUCCCGGGCCUUGUACACACCGCCCGU